rnacentral:rRNA from 1 species
UGGGGAAUUUUGGACAAUGGGCGAAAGCCUGAUCCAGCAAUGCCGCGUGUGUGAAGAAGGCCUUCGGGUUGUAAAGCACUUUUGUCCGGAAAGAAAUGGCUCUGGUUAAUACCUGGGGUCGAUGACGGUACCGGAAGAAUAAGGACCGGCUAACUACGUGCCAGCAGCCGCGGUAAUACGUAGGGUCCAAGCGUUAAUCGGAAUUACUGGGCGUAAAGCGUGCGCAGGCGGUUGUGCAAGACCGAUGUGAAAUCCCCGAGCUUAACUUGGGAAUUGCAUUGGUGACUGCACGGCUAGAGUGUGUCAGAGGGGGGUUAGAAUUCCACGUGUAGCAGUGAAAUGCGUAGAGAUGUGGAGGAAUACCGAUGGCGAAGGCAGCCCCCUGGGAUAACACUGACGCUCAUGCACGAAAGCGUGGGGAGCAAACAGGAUUAGAUACCCUGGUAGUCCACGCCCUAAACGAUGUCAACUAGUUGUUGGGGAUUCAUUUCCUUAGUAACGUAGCUAACGCGUUAAAUCGACC